AGCUGCCACAUUUCAGCCCACGCAAACCAAGCCAGGCGAAAACCCGGCACCGGUGCGCCAGCCCAGCCACAGGCUCCCAAACCGACCGGGCGGCGAUGGUGUUGGUGUCGGACUCGGAGCUGGUGGAGCGGCUGCAGGAGGUGCUGCGGUCGUCGGACCUCAACACCACGACCACCGCUGCCCUGCGCCGCCGCCUCGAGGAGGACUUCGGCGCCGACCUCUCCCACAAAAAGGCCUUCAUUCGGGAGCAGGUCGACCUCUUCCUCGCCGAGGUCGCCGCCAAGGCCGAGCCGCAGGAGCCCAAGGAGGAGGAGCCCGAGGAGGCGCCGGUGCCUAAGGAGGAGGAGCCAGAGGAGCUCGAGGGGGUGGAGGAGGAGGGCGAGGGGGAGGACGAAGAAGAAGAAGAGGAGGAGGAGGAGGAGGAGGAAUGCGAGGAUGAGAAUAGCAGCGGCGCCCGGAAGAAGCAGCGGGGUAAUGAUGGCAAAAAGAGGGGUGGUGGCUUUACAAAAUUAUGCAGUCUUUCACCGGCACUUCAAGAGUUUGUCGGCGCCUCUGAGUUAGCCAGGACAGAGGUUGUCAAGAAGCUUUGGGCAUAUAUUCGAGAAAAUAAUCUUCAAGACCAAAACAAUAGGAGGAAGAUUUUGCCGGAUGAGAGAUUGAAGAAGAUCUUCAAUGUCAAUUCCAUUGAUAUGUUUCAAAUGAAUAAAGCUUUGACCAAGCAUAUCUGGCCAUUGAAUUCUGAGGGUCCUGUCUCUCCUGAUAGAUCAACACCCAAAGAGAAGCCACAAAAGAGAGACAGGAGUGAAGGAAAGAAGCAAAAGGGUGGCUCUUCAGGAGCUGGAUCUGGUUUUCUCGUGCCCCUUCAACUUUCGGAUGAUUUAGUAAAAUUUAUCGGCACUGGUGAGAGCAUGUUAUCACGAUCUGAUGUCGUGAAGAAAAUGUGGGAUUACAUAAAAGGGAACAACCUGCAGGCCCUUUUAUUUCAGUCGCCUUCCAGAAAUAGGCUGUAUGCCUAUCCACUAUGGCCAAUAGCCAGAGUUCUAAAUUGCAGCAGCAACCAGCCAAUUACUGUCAGUAACUGGAAAAAUUCUAGGGCACUUUUGACAUGUUAUGUUGGACUUCUUGAAAACCGUCGUGAAAGAAAAUAAGAGAACAUAAUGCAGUGAGAUGUCUCCUGGCUCCCAGCAAAAGGUCUGGGAAAUUAUUGAAAACAGAUUUUCAAAACCCUUAUUACAAUACUGGCGGUGUAGCCUUGUAGGUUUGAGCUUUCAUGGGCCACAGCCCAACCAAAUUGUAUUUGCAUGUGUUAGUAUACAAUUAACCAUUAUAUGGUUCUUCUGCAGCCUCAUGUCUAGCGUCACUUGUUAGACAUCCAAAUAAGUAGUGCAAUAACUUAGAAGACUGAUGCAUCAUGUAUGAUUGGUCUAGGUAGAGGAAUUCACCCUUUUCAGAUAUGCUGUGAUCUUGUCUUCUCAAAUAGUCACUGAAUAGCCAAAUCCAAGUACACUUUUGGCAUUAUUUUAAGUUUGUUGCAAGAAUUAGCAUGCCUCAUGGUUUAAUGUGUAGGCAUUUGUUGGUAUAUACUCCCUCUCUGUCCUUGAAUAAAUCAACUUCUGGAGUUGUCUUAAGUCAAAUUUUUAUGUUUGACUGAAUUUAUAGAAAAAGACUAAUAUUUAUGACACAAAAUUGAUAUAGUUAGAUAUGACAUGAAAUAUAUUUUCAUACUAUACUUUUUUUUUGCUGUCAUUGAUGGUACUACUCUUUUUCUAUAAAAUUAGUAAACUUAAGGAAGUUUGACACUGGACAACUCUAGAAGUUGAUUUAGCAGGGGGCUUAGGGAGUAUAUUGCUAUAGUCAAGGAACGUCAGCUCAGUAGUAACACAAAGAUCAAAUCUUUGGAAGUAAUGUCGCAAUCGGUGUUCUCGUAAAUAAUAUCAGGGGUGUUUCUGCAGAUGCAUUGUCAUUAGGGUGUCAGCCACAAGGUAGGAUUGCAUCCCUUGUCUCCUUAAGCUAAUAGCUAUAUAUAGGCUGGUAGGAUAUGCAUUUCUCCAUUUUUGUUUUAUGUUCUAACUCAUUCUUUUUUGUGUGGGAAAGGGACUACUUCAUUUAUUGCUCAGGAAAACUUCAUUCGCUUCAAGUGACCAAUGUUUUCUAGUCGGUCGAUCGUUUCUGAUCGCCAGAGGAUCGAUCAACCGAUUAGAUUGAUUAAUCGAACGAUUAGUCGUGAUUAACCCACAUGCCCCACAACCAAGUUACCUAGUAGAGAUGAACGGGGGGACAGGGGAGAAGAGGUGGAGUCAUGCCUGCUCCUGCAGGGUGCCGUCGCGACGGGGAUGGAGGAGGAGGGGGGGGGGGGGGGGCUGUUGCCGGUGGCGCGCCGUCGUCGCCCGCGUGCUAGGGUUCAUCAGUUCGACGAGCGGCGGCGUGUGGGCACGUGCAGGCAGCCAUGUCUUUUUGCGUAUAGGGUACUGGUUGCUUUACUCUAUGGGCUGGACCGCUGGGCCAAAAUUUCCAAAUUCCAAUCAAGGCAGAUGGAUCGUCCAUGAUUUAAUCGGACGAUCAGGUUUCUGGUCGCUCUGAUUACGUCGUUACCGCUGAUCAGCUUCACAGUUACGAUGGGUCGAUUAAUCAUGAUUAAUGGACGAUCUGAAAACACUGCAAGUAACUUUGUAAUACAGACUGGUGCUUGUGGCGGCCACACUGCACGACACUUCGCACAUCUAUCUAGUUGAACUAAUUCAUGAGCUACCCUGUUGCACUCCCUUAAAAUCUCUCUGGAAGGUGAUGGAUUGAAAAUGCCACACCACUGAUCUGACUCCAUCGAUGCCAAACGAUACGUUGACACCACUUGCACAAUCCAACUAAAGUUUAGUCAGUUUCUGCACCCACUCCGCAGCAAGCUGCAAUGUUUCUUAGGAAGCUAUAAUUCUACUUCCUCAGCACAAGCACAUACACUCACUAACUGGCCAUGUUGAAAGAGCUAUCUGUCAAUCAUGAUGAAGGAUUAUAAUACCAACACUUAAUUCAAGAUGAAAAUUUCUGUUUGCAGUGUACCACAGACAAUUGUCAUGUCUAUUCUUGUGUUAAACUGUUAACUAGUUGAUCUGUUAAAAAGAAAAAGGUGGUCUCGAUGGCCAAUAUGGUAUAUUAUUUCUUUUUUUCCUGUCUUCUGGAUGCUACUUUGCAGUCCGACCAGUUUCCAAUGUUGUUUUUCCUAAAUUUCAAUCUCAGUGAUGCGCUGAUGCUGCUGAGCUGCAUCCUUGUUUGCAUUUCAAUUUCCAAUUAACGAAGCCCUGGGAAGAAGUCAUUUACUAAACGUUUCAAAUCGAACAAAUCUGGGCUCACUGAUUGAGUUGAACAAAUCUGUCCCUGGAGUUUACCUGUUUCUCUGUUUGUUUAGCUCACCAUUUGUUCAUGUAUUUGCACGUGCCCCAGAAUUAUUUGGAGUUUAUAGUCAUUGAGACUGAUCCUGUGGAAAUAGUAGAUCCUUCUGACCGGAGGAAAAUAAUCUGCGAUGAGAAGCUGAAGGACCUAUUUGGAGUGGAAACAUUCACCGGCUUUACUGUUUCGAAGCUGCUUGCCCCUCAUUUUACCAAGACGAAGUAGCAACCUGCCAUCCACAUCUUCUAAAACCAAAAAGGCUUGGUAAUUUUGUUUUUGCAGAAUGUGUAAUCAUGGAACAGUUAGGAGCUAUGUGGGUGGUGUGAAUUUUUUUUUGUUUACCUAUGGGAGUCGAUGGCACUUUUUCGAACAUUACCAGUAAAGUAGGCUCCUUCCUCAAUGUCUAAUGGAAGUUAUCAACUGGUCA